ensembl:lncRNA
UGGCUUUUACUAUCAUCUAAUCAUAAGUUUAGACGCUUGGUAGCUUCUAAAUUUUCUAAAGCAAAUAAUAGGCAUAUUACCCUGUUAUCCAGCAUAAUUGGGAUUGGGUAAAACGUGUUCAGGCUUGGCUGUAGGAUUUGAAAUGUCUGAAAAGCCUGACCAGGAAAAAAUAAAAGAAUCUUACUCUUUUAAAUGUAAACCAUAGAAGAAAUACUUUCAGAUACUUGGAGUUUGGUUCACACAAACUUUUUAAAUGCUAUGAGUGUUCUUUAUAAGACAUCUCUUAUAACAGGUAUUGACUCUCCCAACUACUUUUGGUGUCUAUAUGACAUAAAGCAGAAUAUAUAGUGAGCAUCGAAGUAACAAGUUCUCUAUGUGCAAAGCUCCUCUUUAGGGAAGCAUACAUUUUUAAAAAGGAUUAACAAUAAAGGAGUACAAAGUAAAACUGCCUGUGGUCCUUAGACUGAAAAUGGCAAAUAGAAAAGGUAAGUUUUUUGGCAUAAUUCCUAAAUGUAGACAGUUGGUGGCCAUGUUUGCUUACAAAGGCAUUGGCUAGCAGAUCAGUUUCUCAGAUGCAUCAUAGCUAAUCAGCUGAUUUUUUAAGCCUUUAAAUUUGAAACCAGUGGACAUGAGAAAAAGUGGGUUUUUGGUUAGUAUCUCCUGAAGUAAUACUAAAUUUACUCACCUGAAUUUAAAGGUCAUCUGUUCUUUUACUGGGUCGGGAAAAAGAUCGUUUGUAGCCCCUGCUUGCGUCCCGUGUAGCUCCCCUUUCCUAGGCUUCCCUAAGACUCAGGCUCGGCGCGGCUUGUCCACAUCAUGUGAGGGUGGCCAUGGGAGCCCUCGGGGUCAUUCAGUCAUAUUCUGACUGCCUUCUGUUACUCCUUUGGAGGACAGAGUUUAAUUCCUUCUAAUUUCUUCCUGGUCCCACUUCAGAAAUAUUUUGCCAUCAUUAAAUUAAAAAGUGUGGAGUAAAAAUGUCCAGCUACAAAAUUUCAUCUUUGCACUAAAUGUCAUUACUGAUUGACCCACUGUUAGGUGACUGACCUGAGAGCUAUCAAGAAAUGGCCUGCGAAUUUUUCUUCAGUUCUGUAUUGUCAGAACAGAC